GCUUUCAGGGGUGCCUCGCAUGGCGGGGCUGAGAUCACACCCAUCGACCUGAUCUGGAUAAUACCAGCGUAGGGAAG
rnacentral:ncRNA from 1 species